rnacentral:tRNA from 1 species
UCGGAUAUGGUGUAACGGCUAACAUUGCCGCCUCUCAUACUGUUCGCGGCAGCUCGGGGUUCGAUUCCCCGUAUCCGAA